GGUAUAUACAUGUAUUACAGAAAUAAGAAAACCAAAUAGAUAAUCUGAACAUGGUUACAGAUACCCAAAUCUACUAUGGGAGGUCUACACAAACCUCAGAUCCAGAAUAGACAACAGCAGUACAGGCUUCCUUAAGUUGACAAGCACAUUGGUAAAACAUUAGCCAAGGAGGGCAUAUACUCCAUGAGUAGGAAAUAAGCCAUCAAACAAAGAUGUUCCUUGAAUUCCUCAUUUAACUGCUUGUCCAUCUCCUCCUGCGUGCUGGACGCUCUGGCUUCACCUCUGAAUCUGGAGGGGUUUCGCUUUGAACUGAGGAUAAUGGAUCACCUUCCACCUUUUUACUUACUGGAGCUUCUUUCUCACUUGGCAUUGGAAGCUUGAAG
rnacentral:misc_RNA from 1 species